GAGUUUGAUCUUGGCUCAGGAUGAACGCUGGCGGCGUGCUUAACACAUGCAAGUCGAGCGAAGCAGUUAAGUUGAUUUCUUCGGAUUGAUUCUUGACUGACUGAGCGGCGGACGGGUGAGUAACGCGUGGGUGACCUGCCCCAUACCGGGGGAUAACAGCUGGAAACGGCUGCUAAUACCGCAUAAGCGCACAGAGCUGCAUGGCUCAGUGUGAAAAACUCCGGUGGUAUGGGAUGGGCCCGCGUCUGAUUAGGCAGUUGGCGGGGUAACGGCCCACCAAACCGACGAUCAGUAGCCGGCCUGAGAGGUUGAACGGCCACAUUGGGACUGAGACACGGCCCAGACUCCUACGGGAGCAGCAGUGGGGAAUAUUGCGCAAUGGGGGCAACCUGACGCAGCAACGCCGCGUGAUUGAUGAA
rnacentral:rRNA from 1 species